rnacentral:rRNA from 1 species
GAUGAACGCUGGCGGCGUGCUUAACACAUGCAAGUCGAGCGGAAGGACGCGAAGCUUUCCGUUCUGACGUUUGGCGCAGGGGGGAGUAAUACAUGGGGAUCAUCCUCCUAGAAGGGCGGGAAAACCGCGGAAAAACGGUGAUAACGCCUAAUAAUUUUUUGAGCCAGAAGGGGGAAAAGAGAAAUACGGCCUUUCGGUAACUCAUAGUUGGAUUCGCGCUGCAUUGUAGAGUAGGCGAGUUAAAGGGUUACCAGGGCAACGAUGGAUAGCGGAGGUGAGAGGGGGAUCGCCAACACGGGAAGUGAAACACGGUCCAGACUCCUACGGGAGGCAGCAGUAGGGAAUGUUCGGCAAUGGGGGAAAGCCUGACGCAGCGACGCCGCGUGUGUGAUGAAGGCCUUCGGUUCGUAAAGCUCUUUUAUUGGGGACAAACAGAUGUGUACGAACACGCGGGCGUCUUGAGGGUACCCAAUCAGAAAGCAACGGCUAACUACGUG